UGACUUGAUAGAGGACAUGGG
rnacentral:miRNA from 1 species